UUACCCCAGAGGACUGAAUGUUCAUCAGCCCAUACUUUGAGAUCCGCUGCUCCAAUUCAUUUCCCUUUUUGCAGAAAAAUUCACAAGUAAUGAAUUGAUGUGAAUAAAAAGAGAAAGGGUAAAAUUCUAUUCAUUUAUCUAAGAGACCAUUUGAAGAACUGUCUGUGUUAAAAAUCAUGUGCUUUUUUUCCUGAACUAGAGAGAGGGCAGACUGUCCCUUGAUAAAGUGAAUUUCCAGUGAAACAGGAAUGCAUGUUUCAUCCCAACGCCAAAGAGCUAUGGAUUCCUCUGUGACUCUUCUAAUAUAUAUCUUUUGUGCAGAUUUCCACAUUUAGCAGAUUUCAAUAUGUAUCUGUCAUUGUGAUGCCCUGCAGAGGAACAGUUAUGAUUUCUAGAACCACAGAUCCAUGAAGAGAAAAUGUGAGAGGAAGAACACUGCAUGGAAGAGAAGAAUUGCAGGUGCGGAACAUAUUUCACAUGCAAAGAAAUAUCGGGAAAAAAAGGUCGAAUCCAUUCUUUUACCUCUGUCUCAGGAAUGAAAAGUCAAUUUUUAAUUAUAUGGGUAAGGUUGACCAGGGGCCAACUUAUCAAAAAUGCUGAGUUUAGGGUUGGAGAUUAAAUGUAAAAAGAGGUUCAAUUUAUUACUGUUUGGAAGAAAUAAACAUCCAUUUGUAAGAAAGGCUGGAAUCUGUCUGCCUCCAGCCUGCCUUCGGCCCUGAGGUAAACAGCAUGAUCUCUGGGGACAAUAAAUGAAUAGUAGGUGGAGAGCAUGAUCCAAACUUUCUGCCAUAUAUUCUGAGGUUGAUAUCAAGUGUGGGAAAUCAUGUGGCUAUCACCAUCUGCUGACACCAUCCUUUUUGGGGGCAUAGAUGUGCUCGGGUCAUAUAACAUCCU